UACGUAGGGGGCUAGCGUUGUCCGGAAUCAUUGGGCGUAAAGAGCGCGUAGGCGGCCAGAUAAGUCCGGUGUGAAAGCCACAGGCUCAACCUGUGAAUGCCGCUGGAAACUGUCUGGCUAGAGUCCGGGAGGGGCGAGUGGAAUUCCUGGUGUAGCGGUGAAAUGCGCAGAUAUCAGGAGGAACACCAAUGGCGAAGGCAGCUCGCUGGAACGGAACUGACGCUGAGGCGACGAAAGCGUGGGGAGCAAACGGGA
rnacentral:rRNA from 1 species